AAAAAAGGUAAGCUACUAAGAGCGAAUGGUGGAUGCCUUGACUGGUAAAGGCGAUGAAGGACGUACUAGACUGCGAUAAGCUACGGGGAGCUGUCAAGAAGCUUUGAUCCGUAGAUUUCCGAAUGGGGCAACCCAAUGUAUAGAGAUAUACAUUACCUAUAUAGGAGCGAACGAGGGGAAUUGAAACAUCUUAGUACCCUCAGGAAAAGAAAUCAAUAGAGAUUGCGUCAGUAGCGGCGAGCGAAAGCGCAAGAGGGCAAACCCAGUGCUUGCACUGGGGGUUGUAGGACUGCAAUGUGCAAGAGGUGAGUUUAGCAGAACAUUCUGGAAAGUAUAGCCAUAGAGGGUGAUAGUCCCGUAUGCGAAAAACAAACCUUAGCUAGCAGUAUCCUGAGUAGGGCGGGACACGAGAAAUCCUGUCUGAAGCUGGGUCGACCACGAUCCAACCCUAAAUACUAAUACCAGAUCGAUAGUGCACAAGUACCGUGAGGGAAAGGUGAAAAGAACUGAGGUGAUCAGAGUGAAAUAGAACCUGAAACCAUUUGCUUACAAUCAUUCAGAGCCCUAUGUAGCAAUACAGGGUGAUGGACUGCCUUUUGCAUAAUGAGCCUGCGAGUUGUGGUGUCUGGCAAGGUUAAGCAAACGCGAAGCCGUAGCGAAAGCGAGUCUGAAUAGGGCGCUUAGUCAGAUGCUGCAGACCCGAAACGAAGUGAUCUAUCCAUGAGCAAGUUGAAGCUAGUGUAAGAACUAGUGGAGGACUGAACCCAUAGGCGUUGAAAAGCCCCGGGAUGACUUGUGGAUAGGGGUGAAAGGCCAAUCAAACUUCGUGAUAGCUGGUUCUCUCCGAAAUAUAUUUAGGUAUAGCGUUGUGUCGUAAUAUAAGGGGGUAGAGCACUGAAUGGGCUAGGGCAUACACCAAUGUACCAAACCCUAUCAAACUCCGAAUACCUUAUAUGUAAUCACAGCAGUCAGGCGGCGAGUGAUAAAAUCCGUCGUCAAGAGGGAAACAACCCAGACUACCAGCUAAGGUCCCUAAAUCUUACUUAAGUGGAAAACGAUGUGAAGUUACUUAAACAACCAGGAGGUUGGCUUAGAAGCAGCCAUCCUUUAAAGAAAGCGUAAUAGCUCACUGGUCUAGUGAUUUUGCGCGGAAAAUAUAACGGGGCUAAAGUAAGUACCGAAGCUGUAGACUUGAUUUUA
rnacentral:rRNA from 1 species